rnacentral:rRNA from 1 species
CCCUUAGAUGUUCUGAACCGCACGCGUGUUACAAUGAUGUGUUCAACGAGCAUAUAACCUUGGCCGAGAGGCCUGGGCAAUCUUUUUAAUGCACAUCGUGUUAGGGAUAGAUUAUUGCAAUUAUUAAUCUUGAACGAGGAAUUCCUAGUAAACGCAGAUCAUCAAUCUGCAUUGAUUACGUCCCUGCCCUUUGUACACACCGCCCGUCGCUCCUACCGAUUGAAUGCUCAGGUGAGCCAUUCGGACUUUCAUCAUGCUGGUUUCCAGUUUUGAUGAAGGAAAGUCUUGCGAACCUUAUCAUUUAGAGGAAGGAGAAGUCGUAACA